AUUGAACGCUGGCGGCAUGCCUUACACAUGCAAGUCGAACGGCAGCGCGGGAGCAAUCCUGGCGGCGAGUGGCGAACGGGUGAGUAAUAUAUCGGAACGUGCCCAGUAGUGGGGGAUAGCCCGACGAAAGCCGGAUUAAUACCGCAUACGACCUACGGGUGAAAGGGGGGGAUCGCAAGACCUCUCGCUAUUGGAGCGGCCGAUAUCAGAUUAGGUAGUUGGUGGGGUAAAGGCCUACCAAGCCUGCGAUCUGUAGUUGGUCUGAGAGGACGACCAGCCACACUGGGACUGAGACACGGCCCAGACUCCUACGGGAGGCAGCAGUGGGGAAUUUUGGACAAUGGGCGCAAGCCUGAUCCAGCAAUGCCGCGUGCAGGAAGAAGGCCUUCGGGUUGUAAACUGCUUUUGUCAGGGAAGAAAUCCUCUAGGCUAAUACCUUGGGGGGAUGACGGUACCUGAAGAAUAAGCACCGGCUAACUACGUGCCAGCCGCCGCAGUAAUAC
rnacentral:rRNA from 1 species